GUAAGCUGAUGAUUAGAGUAUUGUAG
rnacentral:sRNA from 1 species